rnacentral:rRNA from 1 species
UACGUAGGGGGCUAGCGUUGUCCGGAAUCAUUGGGCGUAAAGAGCGUGUAGGCGGCCCGGUAAGUCCGCUGUGAAAGUCGGGGGCUCAACCCUCGAAUGCCGGUGGAUACUGUCGGGCUAGAGUGCGGAAGAGGCGAGUGGAAUUCCUGGUGUAGCGGUGAAAUGCGCAGAUAUCUGGAGGAACACCGGUGGCGAAGGCGGCAUCCUGGACCAAUUCUGACGCUGAGUGAGCGAAAGCCAGGGGAGCAAACGGG